rnacentral:rRNA from 1 species
CCGAGCGGACAGAUGAGGAGCUUGCUCCCUGAUGUUAGCGGCGGACGGGUGAGUAACACGUGGGUAACCUGCCUGUAAGACUGGGAUAACUCCGGGAAACCGGGGCUAAUACCGGAUGGUUGUUUGAACCGCAUGGUUCAAACAUAAAAGGUGGCUUCGGCUACCACUUACAGAUGGACCCGCGGCGCAUUAGCUAGUUGGUGAGGUAACGGCUCACCAAGGCAACGAUGCGUAGCCGACCUGAGAGGGUGAUCGGCCACACUGGGACUGAGACACGGCCCAGACUCCUACGGGAGGCAGCAGUAGGGAAUCUUCCGCAAUGGACGAAAGUCUGACGGAGCAACGCCGCGUGAGUGAUGAAGGUUUUCGGAUCGUAAAGCUCUGUUGUUAGGGAAGAACAAGUACCGUUCGAAUAGGGCGGUACCUUGACGGUACCUAACCAGAAAGCCACGGCUAACUACGUGCCAGCAGCCGCGGUAAUACGUAGGUGGCAAGCGUUGUCCGGAAUUAUUGGGCGUAAAGGGCUCGCAGGCGGUUUCUUAAGUCUGAUGUGAAAGCCCCCGGCUCAACCGGGGAGGGUCAUUGGAAACUGGGGAACUUGAGUGCAGAAGAGGAGAGUGGAAUUCCACGUGUAGCGGUGAAAUGCGUAGAGAUGUGGAGGAACACCAGUGGCGAAGGCGACUCUCUGGUCUGUAACUGACGCUGAGGAGCGAAAGCGUGGGGAGCGAACAGGAUUAGAUACCCUGGUAGUCCACGCCGUAAACGAUGAGUGCUAAGUGUUAGGGGGUUUCCGCCCCUUAGUGCUGCAGCUAACGCAUUAAGCACUCCGCCUGGGGAGUACGGUCGCAAGACUGAAACUCAAAGGAAUUGACGGGGGCCCGCACAAGCGGUGGAGCAUGUGGUUUAAUUCGAAGCAACGCGAAGAACCUUACCAGGUCUUGACAUCCUCUGACAAUCCUAGAGAUAGGACGUCCCCUUCGGGGGCAGAGUGACAGGUGGUGCAUGGUUGUCCUCACCUCGGGUCCUGAAAAGUUGGGUUAAGUCCCGCAACAAGCCCAACCCUUGAUCUUAUUUGCCACCUUUCGUUGGGCCCCCUAAGGUGACUGCCGGUGACAACCGAAGAAAGGGGGGGAGACGUCAAUCACCGGCCCCUUAGAACUGGGCUACCCCU